CAUGCUGGAUGUGACUAUUAUUACAGGAGAAUUACAGCAGUACUGUGCUGCCAAAAGUGAAGACAUCCUCCGCGCUGCUGAGAAACCCCUCGGAAAGCACAACACUUCAGAAGGGUCCUGAGGAAGGAUAUGACAAAGUUCUGCAAGAUGUGACAUCUGGUGGAUGGCCUGCUCCCAGUGACCCAGGGCCCCUGUCAGAACUCCUUGGUGGCAGCAGCCUACAGGAGGCCUUGUGGGACUAUCCCAUGGCGAUCUGACCUGGUUCUGGCUUUGUCCAAGUAAUUUUAGUCGCACUAACACUUUUGACCCCUGGUGUCAUUGAUAAGCUCCAGAGCACUGAGUGCUGGGUCAAAAAAGUUUUGAAAGAUCUACAGAAAACUAAAUUCUUAAAGCCA